GAAAAGAGAAGAGAAGGAAGGAAGAAAGAAGAGGAAAGGAACGAAGGAGAAAGAGAGUGCAGCAGCCCUCUCUGCUACUGCUGCUCCUACUGCUGUGGCUGCUAUUGCUACUAUUCAUAUACCCCUACAUGCUGCCCAUGGUGAGGAAAUGCUGCCAUGGCUGGAAAUAGAAUCCGGAGCUACACAGCUAUGGGUGGACCCAUCUGCAUACUCAAGAAUUGUUGGAAAGAUGGUGGAACCGGAGUUGAGAUGAACAGAACAUUAGUACGGUUGUGAGGCCGUGUUUGCAAGACACUUUGUAGCUGGAUGAACACCUCUACUAUUUAUUCUUGAAUUUAUAUUAACAAUGGUUGUAAAGUUUAUAUUAUUGCUAUUGUUACCUGUGGAUUCAAUCAUUACGGGCCUGUACCAUUAAUUAACAGUAACCAUCAUUGUAGUUGGUCACCACACA